UACAGAGGGUGCGAGCGUUAAUCGGAAUUACUGGGCGUAAAGCGUGCGUAGACGGUUAUGUAAGUUAGGGGUGAAAUCCCGGGGCUCAACCCCGGAACUGCCUUUAAUACUGGGUAUCUCGAGUUCGAGAGAGGUGAGUGGAAUUCCGAGUGUAGAGGUGAAAUUCGUAGAUAUUCGGAGGAACACCAGUGGCGAAGGCGGCUCACUGGCUCGAUACUGACGCUGAGGUGCGAAAGCGUGGGGAGCAAACAGG
rnacentral:rRNA from 1 species